AAUAGAUACCCUGGUAGUCCACGCUGUAAACGAUGAUUACUAGGUGUGGGGGGGACUGACCCCCUUCCGUGCCGCAGCAAACGCAAUAAGUAAUCCACCUGGGGAGUACGGCCGCAAGGUUGAAACUCAAAGGAAUUGACGGGGGGCCCGCACAAGCAGUGGAGUAUGUGGUUUAAUUCGAAGCAACGCGAAGAACCUUACCAGGUCUUGACAUCGAGUGAAGUCAUAAGAGAUUAUGACGUCCUUCGGGACACAAAGACAGGUGGUGCAUGGUUGUCGUCAGCUCGUGUCGUGAGAUGUUGGGUUAAGUCCCGCAACGAGCGCAACCCUUAUCAAUAGUUGCUACGCAAGAGCACUCUAUUGAGACUGCCGUUGACAAAACGGAGGAAGGUGGGGAUGACGUCAAAUCAUCAUGCCCCUUAUGACCUGGGCUACACACGUACUACAAUGGCAAUUAACAGAGGGAAGCAAAGCAGCGAUGCAGAGCGAAACCCGAAAAACUUAGUCUCAGUUCGGAUUGCAGGCUGCAACG
rnacentral:rRNA from 1 species